rnacentral:rRNA from 1 species
UACGUAGGGGGCAAGCGUUGUCCGGAAUCAUUGGGCGUAAAGCGCGUGUAGGCGGCUCGGUAAGUCUGCUCUGAAAGCCCGGGGCUCAACCCUGGGAGGCGGGUGGAUACUGCUGAGCUCGAGUCCGGAAGAGGCGAGUGGAAUUCCUGGUGUAGCGGUGAAAUGCGCAGAUAUCGGGAGGAACACCAGUGGCGAAGGCGACUACCUGGCCUGUUCUUGACGCUGAGGCGCGAAAGCUAGGGGAGCAAACGGG